rnacentral:rRNA from 1 species
AUUGAACGCUGGCGGCAGGCCUAACACACGCAAGUCGAGCGGAUGAAGGGAGCUUGCUCCUGGAUUCAGCGGCGGACGGGUGAGUAAUGCCUAGGAAUCUGCCUGGUAGUGGGGGAUAACGUCCGGAAACGGGCGCUAAUACCGCAUACGUCCUGAGGGAGAAAGUGGGGGAUCUUCGGACCUCACGCUAUCAGAUGAGCCUAGGUCGGAUUAGCUAGUUGGUGGGGUAAAGGCCUACCAAGGCGACGAUCCGUAACUGGUCUGAGAGGAUGAUCAGUCACACUGGAACUGAGACACGGUCCAGACUCCUACGGGAGGCAGCAGUGGGGAAUAUUGGACAAUGGGCGAAAGCCUGAUCCAGCCAUGCCGCGUGUGUGAAGAAGGUCUUCGGAUUGUAAAGCACUUUAAGUUGGGAGGAAGGGCAGUAAGUUAAUACCUUGCUGUUUUGACGUUACCAACAGAAUAAGCACCGGCUAACUUCGU